rnacentral:rRNA from 1 species
AAUUGAGACACGGUCCGGACUCUACGGGAGCCAGCAGUGAGGAAUAUUGGUCAAUGGGCGAGAGCCUGAACCAGCCAAGUCGCGUGAAGGAAGAAGGUCUUAUGGAUUGUAAACUUCUUUUAUAGGGGAAUAAAGAUGAGUACGUGUACUCAGUUGUAGGUACCCUAAGAAUAAGGAUCGGCUAACUCCGUGCCAGCAGCCGCGGUAAUACGGAGGAUCCGAGCGUUAUCCGGAUUUAUUGGGUUUAAAGGGUGCGUAGGCGGGUUGAUAAGUCAGUGGUGAAAGGUUUGCGCUCAACGUAGACAUUGCCAUUGAAACUGUCAGUCUUGAGUACAAAUGAGGUAGGCGGAAUGUGUUGUGUAGCGGUGAAAUGCAUAGAUAUGACACAGAACACCAAUUGAAUUGAGACACGGUCCGGACUCUACGGGAGCCAGCAGUGAGGAAUAUUGGUCAAUGGGCGAGAGCCUGAACCAGCCAAGUCGCGUGAAGGAAGAAGGUCUUAUGGAUUGUAAACUUCUUUUAUAGGGGAAUAAAGAUGAGUACGUGUACUCAGUUGUAGGUACCCUAAGAAUAAGGAUCGGCUAACUCCGUGCCAGCAGCCGCGGUAAUACGGAGGAUCCGAGCGUUAUCCGGAUUUAUUGGGUUUAAAGGGUGCGUAGGCGGGUUGAUAAGUCAGUGGUGAAAGGUUUGCGCUCAACGUAGACAUUGCCAUUGAAACUGUCAGUCUUGAGUACAAAUGAGGUAGGCGGAAUGUGUUGUGUAGCGGUGAAAUGCAUAGAUAUGACACAGAACACCAAUUG